rnacentral:rRNA from 1 species
UACGAAGGGGGCUAGCGUUGCUCGGAAUCACUGGGCGUAAAGGGUGCGUAGGCGGGUUUUUAAGUCAGGGGUGAAAUCCUGGAGCUCAACUCCAGAACUGCCUUUGAUACUGAAGAUCUUGAGUUCGGGAGAGGUGAGUGGAACUGCGAGUGUAGAGGUGAAAUUCGUAGAUAUUCGCAAGAACACCAGUGGCGAAGGCGGUUGCCUGGAGCUUUGCUGACGCUGAGGCGCGAAAGCGUGGGGAGCGAUCCGG